rnacentral:rRNA from 1 species
GGGCCCUUACAUGAAUAAACCCGGGGGCGAAAGGUCAGCAGCCUUGCCACGGAAAGAAUUGACUGCUUCUAAUACAUGGGGUCCAUGACGGUACCGUAAGAAUAAUCACCGGCUAACUACGUGCCAGCAGCCGCGGUAAUACGUAGGGUGCAAGCGUUAAUCGGAAUUACUGGGCGUAAAGCGUGCGCAGGCGGUUAUAUAAGACAGAUGUGAAAUCCCCGGGCUCAACCUGGGAACUGCAUUUGUGACUGUAUAGCUAGAGUACGGCAGAGGGGGAUGGAAUUCCGCGUGUAGCAGUGAAAUGCGUAGAUAUGCGGAGGAACACCGAUGGCGAAGGCAAUCCCCUGGGCCUGUACUGACGCUCAUGCACGAAAGCGUGGGGAGCAAACAGGAUUAGAUACCCUGGUAGUCCACGCCCUAAACGAUGUCAACUGGUUGUUGGGAAUCCACUUUCUCAGUAACGAAGCUAACGCGUGAAGUUGACCGCCUGGGGAGUACGGCCGCAAGGUUGAAACUCAAA